UCAGAUGACAUAUACUCCAGGCAUCCCUAUCUGCUCAGCCUAAUCAGAUUAACACUGAAUGCCAUCUAUGUAUACACUGGCCUCCUGGCCAGGAUUUAGAGCGCUGACACGCUGCCAGCCGCCACGCGGAGGAGACGGGGCAUCGUCUGAAAGGCGCGAGUCCACGAAGUCUGUGGGAUGCGGGUGCUCGGUACCGCACGGGACCUCGAUGGGGACACAGCAGCAGAGAUUGUAUUGGAAGCGGCAAACGGAUGAAUGCAAACAUUAGCCGCCAUCACGGAAGCCAUUGGGUGGAUGAUUUCUAUCAGCGAGAGCCAGACUGGUGACAGUUGGCCUCCGCAACCAAGUGUUCAAUUUGAGAGGACGAUGCACCAAAUCAAUCUUCGCCACCGGGAUGUGGUUUUUCCCGUCGUCGCGUCCGUGAUUGGUGUGGGUCCCCUCAAACCGGAGUGGAAACAGAUCCUAUCAACGCAGGGACAAAGACAAACUGACAGGUGUUAAAUUAACUGAAAAAUCACACAAUCACAGAGUCAUAACGACUCCAGUCGUCCCAUGAAGAAACGGGAACAAGCACGAGGGCCC
rnacentral:lncRNA from 1 species